rnacentral:RNase_P_RNA from 1 species
AAAGCAGGUCAGACGAUCGCGUGCGCCUUGGGCGCAUGAGGAAAGUCCGAACUCCGCAGAGCAGGAUGGUCCGUAACGCGGACCCGUCGUGAGGCGGGGAAAGUGCCACAGAAAACAGACAUUCCGUCCUGGACGGAUUAAGGUGAAAAGGUGAGGUAAGAGCUCACCGGUCCGGUGGCGACAUCGGGCGCAUGGCAAACCCCAUCCGGAGCAAGACCAAAUAGGAGGGAAGAGGCUGCUCGUCUCAAUUGACCCUCGGGUAGGUUGCUAGAGGCGCCGGGCAACCGGCGUCCCAGAUAAAUGAUCGUCGGAGGCGUCCACAAAGAUAAUCAUCGCAGGCCGUAAAGAGAUGGGCUUUUACC